rnacentral:rRNA from 1 species
UCCGGUGACCCUACCGAGAGGGCCACACCCGUUCCCAUCCCGAACACGGAAGUUAAGCCUCUCAGGGCCGAUGGUACUGCGCGGGCGACUGUGUGGGAGACUAGGUCGUUGCCGGGA